rnacentral:rRNA from 1 species
CGUAACAAGGUCUCCGUAGGUGAACCUGCGGAGGGAUCAUUACACAAAUAUGAAGGCGGGCUGGAACCUCUCGGGGUUACAGCCUUGCUGAAUUAUUCACCCUUGUCUUUUGCGUACUUCUUGUUUCCUUGGUGGGUUCGCCCACCACUAGGACAAACAUAAACCUUUUGUAAUUGCAAUCAGCGUCAGUAACAAAUUAAUAAUUACAACUUUCAACAACGGAUCUCUUGGUUCUGGCAUCGAUGAAGAACGCAGCGAAAUGCGAUAAGUAGUGUGAAUUGCAGAAUUCAGUGAAUCAUCGAAUCUUUGAACGCACAUUGCGCCCUUUGGUAUUCCAAAGGGCAUGCCUGUUCGAGCGUCAUUUGUACCCUCAAGCUUUGCUUGGUGUUGGGCGUCUUGUCUCUAGCUUUGCUGGAGACUCGCCUUAAAGUAAUUGGCAGCCGGCCUACUGGUUUCGGAGCGCAGCACAAGUCGCACUCUCUAUCAGCAAAGGUCUAGCAUCCAUUAAGCCUUUUUUCAUCUUUUGACCUCGGAUCAGGUAGGGAUACCCGCUGAACUUAAGCAUAUCA